CGAGAAGACCCUAUGGAGCUUUAGACGUAAGACAACCCGUGUUAAAACCCCCAAAAGAAAGGACUAAACAUAAUGGACCUUGUACUAAUGUCUUUGGUUGGGGCGACCAAGG
rnacentral:rRNA from 1 species